rnacentral:rRNA from 1 species
UACGAAGGGUGCAAGCGUUAAUCGGAAUUACUGGGCGUAAAGCGUGCGUAGGCGGUUCGUUAAGUCUGUCGUGAAAGCCCUGGGCUCAACCUGGGAAUGGCGAUGGAUACUGGCGGGCUAGAGUCAGGUAGAGGGUGGCGGAAUUCCCGGUGUAGCGGUGAAAUGCGUAGAGAUCGGGAGGAACAUCCGUGGCGAAGGCGGCCACCUGGACCAUGACUGACGCUGAGGCACGAAAGCGUGGGGAGCAAAC